rnacentral:rRNA from 1 species
GAACGGCAGCACAGGUAGCAAUACCGGGUGGCGAGUGGCGGACGGGUGAGGAAUACAUCGGGACCUGCCCAGACGUGGGGGAUAACGUAGGGAAACUUACGCUAAUACCGCAUACGUCCUACGGGAGAAAGCGGGGGAUCGCAAGACCUCGCGCGGUUGGAUGGACCGAUGUUCGAUUAGCUAGUUGGUAGGGUAAUGGCCUACCAAGGCGACGAUCGAUAGCUGGUCUGAGAGGAUGAUCAGCCACACUGGGACUGAGACACGGCCCAGACUCCUACGGGAGGCAGCAGUGGGGAAUAUUGGACAAUGGGCGCAAGCCUGAUCCAGCAAUGCCGCGUGUGUGAAGAAGGCCUUCGGGUUGUAAAGCACUUUUAUCAGGAGCGAAAUACUACCGGCUAAUACCCGGUGGGGCUGACGGUACCUGAGGAAUAAGCACCGGCUAACUUCGUGCCAGCAGCCGCGGUAAU